rnacentral:rRNA from 1 species
UACAGAGACUGCAAGCGUUUGUUCGGAUUCAUUGGGCGUAAAGGGUGCGCAGGCGGUGUGCUAAGUCGGAUGUGAAAUCUCACAGCCUAACUGUGAUAGGUCAUUCGAAACUGGCAUGCUAGAGGAUUGGAGAGGAGACUGGAAUAGUUGGUGUAGCAGUGAAAUGCGUAGAGAUCAACUAGAACACCGGUGGCGAAGGCGAGUCUCUGGACAUUUCCUGACGCUGAGGCACGAAAGCCAGGGGAGCAAACGGG